CCUACGGGUUGCAGCAGUGGGGAAUAUUGCACAAUGGGCGCAAGCCUGACGCAGCCAUGCCGCGUGUAGGAAGAAGGCCUUCGGGUUGUAAAGUACUUUCAGCGGGGAGGAAGGUGUUGUGGUUAAUAACCACAGCAAUUGACGUUACCCGCAGAAGAAGCACCGGCUAACUCCGUGCCAGCAGCCGCGGUAAUACGGAGGGUGCAAGCGUUAAUCGGAAUUACUGGGCGUAAAGCGCACGCAGGCGGUCUGUCAAGUCGGAUGUGAAAUCCCCGGGCUCAACCUCGGAAUUGCAUUUGAAACUGGCAGGCUAGAGUCUUGUAGAGGGGGGUAGAAUUUCAGGUGUAGCGGUGAAAUGCGUAGAGAUCUGAAGGAAUACCAGUGGCGAAGGCGGCCCCCUGGACAAAGACUGACGCUCAGAUGCGAAAGCGUGGGGAGCAAACAGGAUUAGAUACCCGGGUAGUC
rnacentral:rRNA from 1 species